rnacentral:rRNA from 1 species
AUUGAACGCUGGCGGCAGGCCUAACACAUGCAAGUCGAACGAGUGGCGGACGGGAGAGUAAUGUCUGGGAAACUGCCCGAUGGAGGGGGAUAACUAAUGGAAACGGUAGCUAAUACCGCAUACCAUCGGAUGUGCCCAGAUGGGUUGAGCUAGUAGGUGGGGUAACGGCUCACCUGGGCGACGAUCCCUAGCUGGUCUGAGCGGAUGACAAGCCACAAGGGAACUGAGACACGGUCCAGAAUCCUACGGGAGGCAGAAGUGGGGAAUAGUGCACAAUGGGCGAAAGCCUGAUGCAGCCAUGCCGCGUGUAUGAAGAAGGCCGUCGGGUUGUAAAGUACUUUCAGCGAGGAGGCGUGACGCGCAGAAGAAGCACCGGCUAACUCCGUGCCAGCAGCCGCGGUAAUAC